rnacentral:rRNA from 1 species
GACGAACGCUGGCGGCGUGCCUAAUACAUGCAAGUAGAACGCUGAAGCUUGGUGCUUGCACCGAGCGGAUGAGUUGCGAACGGGUGAGUAACGCGUAGGUAACCUGCCUGGUAGCGGGGGAUAACUAUUGGAAACGAUAGCUAAUACCGCAUAAUAGUAGAUGUUGCAUGACAUUUGCUUAAAAGGUGCAAUUGCAUCACUACCAGAUGGACCUGCGUUGUAUUAGCUAGUUGGUGAGGUAACGGCUCACCAAGGCAACGAUACAUAGCCGACCUGAGAGGGUGAUCGGCCACACUGGGACUGAGACACGGCCCAGACUCCUACGGGAGGCAGCAGGAGGGAAUCUUCGGCAAUGGACGGAAGUCUGACCGAGCAACGCCGCGUGAGUGAAGAAGGGUUUCGGAUCGGAAAGCUCUGUUGUAAGAGAAGAACGAGUGUGAGAGUGGAAAGUUCACACUGUGACGGUAUCUUACCAGAAAGGGACGGCUAACUACGUG